AACGAACGCUGGCGGCAGGCUUAACACAUGCAAGUCGAACGUGUGUAGCAAUACAUCAGUGGCAGACGGGUGAGUAACACGUGGGAACCUUCCUAGGGGUACGGAACAACUCAGGGAAACUUGAGCUAAUACCGUAUACGUCCGUGAGGAGAAAGAUUUAUCGCCCUUAGACGGGCCCGCGUCGGAUUAGGUAGUUGGUGGGGUAACGGCCUACCAAGCCUACGAUCCGUAGCUGAUCUGAGAGGAUGAUCAGCCACACUGGGACUGAGACACGGCCCAGACUCUUACGGGAGGCAGCAGUGGGGAAUCUUGGACAAUGGGCGAAAGCCUGAUCCAGCCAUGCCGCGUGAGUGAAGAAGGCCUUAGGGUUGUAAAGCUCUUUUGCCAGGGACGAUAAUGACGGUACCUGGAGAAUAAGCCCCGGCAAACUUCGUGCCAGCCGCCGCGGUAACAC
rnacentral:rRNA from 1 species